rnacentral:lncRNA from 11 species
GGCGGAUUCAAUAAAGUUUACCAUUGCGACCAGCGGUGUGAGUCUAUUUCUUGGGUCCCUACACCUUCCAGAAACGGACAUUAAGCUUUUGCAGUCAUCUUGGCAAGGCGGAUUCAAUAAAGUUUUCCAUUGCGACCAGCGGUGUGAGCCUAUUUCUUGGGUCCUACACCUUCCAGGAACGGACAUUAAGCUUUUGCAGUCAUCUUGGCAAGGCGGAUUCAAUAAAGUUUUCCAUUGCAAGCAACGGUGUGAGCCUAUUUCUUGGGUCCUACACCUUCCAGGAACGGACAUUAAGCUUUUGCAGUCAUCUUGGCAAGGCGGAUUCAAUAAAGUUUUCCAUUGCGACCAGCGGUGUGAGCCUAUUUCUUGGGUCCUACACCUUCCAGGAACGGACAUUAAGCUUUUGCAGUCAUCUUGGCAAGGCGGAUUCAAUAAAGUUUUCCAUUGCGACCAGCGGUGUGAGCCUAUUUCUUGGGUCCUACACCUUCCAGGAACGGACAUUAAGCUUUUACUCCCUUUUUUUCCGGCUCAUCCCGUGAGGAAAGGUCUCUCCGGUGAGAGCAUGAACCCUGAUGGAGGAGAAACCAUGAAGGAAUUCCUCUUCCUGGAAGAAGAACAGGCGAACCCUCGAGGUGCCGAGGAGUUGAGAGAGGAAAGGAACCCAUCGCCCGCGUUGAGCGAAGGGGGGACAGACCCCUCGGACCCGUCGUGGAAGCCGCUGACCUCCACCCAGUUACCCGCAGGCAGGGGAGUGACGAUGGAUCUGAUGCAGCGGCAGGUAAACGAGUCCUGGAGGGCGACAGUCGAGCAACGGGAGCAGAGGAGAGGGCUGCCCGGGAGAGGCACUGAACCCCGUCCCUUGGCCGGGGAGGGUCCACAGGACGAUGAGGACGAGAUGCCUCGGCAGGGGGCAUCAGUUUUCCCCACGGGCCUGUCGGGAAGGAGCCAAAUGCCUGGGGAGGGAGAAUUUCGGGCAAAGUUCAACGGGGACCCCAAACAGCUGUCUUAUUUCAUUACAAACGUAAGACACUUCAUGGAGGAUUAUCAUAGAAUCAUAGAAUAGUAGAGUUGGAAGAGACCACAUGGGCCAUCCAGUCCAACCCCCUGCCAAGAAGCAGGAAAUCGCAUUCAAAGCACCCCCGACAGAUGGCCAUCCAGCCUCUGCUUAAAAGCCUCCAAGGAAGGAGCCUCCACCACGGCCCCGGGGAGAGAGUUCCACUGCCGAACAGCCCUUCUCACAGUGAGGAAGUUCUUCCUGAUGUUCAGGUGGAAUCUCCUUUCCUGUAGUUUGAAG